rnacentral:tRNA from 1 species
GGCUCUGUAGUGAAGUUCAUGUUGAGUUGCAAGCUCAUCGAUGUGCAUUAAUUGUGCACCGGAGUCU